CCCUUAGAUGGUCUGGGCGGCACGCGCGCUACAAUGAUGCAUUCAAAAAGUCUUCUGACCUUAGAAGGUUGGGUAUUCUCCAAAGUGCAUCGUGAUGGGAAUAGUUUAUUGCAAUUUUUAAUCUUGAACGAGGAAUUCCUAGUAAGUACAGGUCAUCAACUUGUGUUGAUUACGUCCCUGCCCUUUGUACACACCGCCCGUCACUCCUACUGAUUGAGUGUCUCGGUGAAUUCUUUGAUCUUCUGUCGAUUCAGUUCACUGAUCCGACGGUGGAAAGUUGAAUGAACUUCGUCACUUAGAGGAAGGAGAAGUCGUAACA
rnacentral:rRNA from 1 species